rnacentral:rRNA from 1 species
UACGUAGGGUGCAAGCGUUGUCCGGAAUUAUUGGGCGUAAGGAGCUCGUAGGCGGUCUGUCGCGUCUGCUGUGAAAACUCGGGGCUUAACCCCGGGCCUGCAGUGGGUACGGGCAGACUAGAGUGCGGUAGGGGAGACUGGAAUUCCUGGUGUAGCGGUGAAAUGCGCAGAUAUCAGGAGGAACACCGGUGGCGAAGGCGGGUCUCUGGGCCGUAACUGACGCUGAGGAGCGAAAGCGUGGGGAGCGAACAGG